rnacentral:tRNA from 1 species
GGGCAGGUACCCAAGCGGCCAAAGGGGACUGACUGUAAAUCAGUUGGCUCAGCCUUCGGAGGUUCGAAUCCUUCCCUGCCCA